rnacentral:rRNA from 1 species
GACAGAGGGUGCAAACGUUGUUCGGAAUUACUGGGCGUAAAGCGCGUGUAGGCGGCUUCGCAAGUCGGAUGUGAAAUCCCACGGCUCAACCGUGGAAGUGCAUUCGAAACUGCAAGGCUAGAGUUCUGGAGAGGAAGGUGGAAUGCUUGGUGUAGAGGUGAAAUUCGUAGAUAUCAAGCGGAACACCGGUGGCGAAGGCGGUUCUCUGGGCCUGUACUGACGCUGAGGAGCGAAAGCGUGGGGAGCAAACAGG